AACGAACGCUGGCGGCAUGCCUAACACAUGCAAGUCGAACGAUGCUUUCGGGCAUAGUGGCGCACGGGUGCGUAACGCGUGGGAAUCUGCCCUUAGGUUCGGAAUAACAGUUAGAAAUGACUGCUAAUACCGGAUGAUGACGUUAAGUCCAAAGAUUUAUCGCCUGAGGAUGAGCCCGCGUAGGAUUAGCUAGUUGGUGUGGUAAGAGCGCACCAAGGCGACGAUCCUUAGCUGGUCUGAGAGGAUGAUCAGCCACACUGGGACUGAGACACGGCCCAGACUCCUACGGGAGGCAGCAGUGGGGAAUAUUGGACAAUGGGCGCAAGCCUGAUCCAGCAAUGCCGCGUGAGUGAUGAAGGCCUUAGGGUUGUAAAGCUCUUUUACCCGUGAUGAUAAUGACAGUAGCGGGAGAAUAAGCCCCGGCUAACUCCGUGCCAGCAGCCGCGGUAA
rnacentral:rRNA from 1 species